CCGUCCCCACCUCCGCGUCCUGCACCCCCACCACCACCAGGGGCCAUCCGCCUUGGGCUUCCCUGUGGAACACCACCUAUGGAUCAUACAAGCAACAUCUCAAGACAUCAACCAUGAAGGGGAAGUUGAGGCUGAAGCGGGUCUUCCAAGUGGAUGAUGUCCCUCGGCAUACCACCAGCCGUGGUAGGAACCUUCCCGCCCGCUGUGCCAACCUCUCCGGGGCUGACAUUUCCCAUCCUCUGCUCCUUCUCCACCUUGACCAGCGCCGACCUGCCUUCCCUCCAGGACAUGUCUCGCUGUGCUGUGGAGAUGAUGAUGGUACCACCAUACCUUGAUGUUGCUCAGUUGUUCCACUGAAUCCACAGAGUCACAGAAG